CAAAAACAUAGCUGCGUGAUCUUACUCGCAGUAUAUUCUGCUCAAUGAAGUUUAAAUAGCCGCAGUACCCUGACUGUGCAAAGGUAGCGUAAUCAGUUGUCUUUUAAUUAAAGUCUAGUAUCAACGAACAUAUGGGGGCUUACUUUACCAGUAAUAUAAUGUGAAUUUGCUAAAGGGGUGUAAAAACCCCUAUUAUUUAAUAGACGAGAAGACCCUAGAAAUUUUUUACGGACGUUUUUGUUGGGGCAACAUAGUAACAUAAAAUUUACUGUAUAGACAAGAAAUUAAAUAGAUAGUUUAAAUUACUCUAGGGAUAACAGCAUAAUGAAUAAUCGUUUGUGACCUCGAUGUUGGAUUAGGAAGUUAUAGCUUAAAAGGUAUUUAAUUUCUCUGUU
rnacentral:rRNA from 1 species